GCAAAAUACAGCCGAAAACCAACUCCUAUAACACACAGAAUAAUGGAAGGAAAAACAGAGAGCGAUCGCGGAUGACACAGCAAGGGGAUACUACUGUUUCGGAUUCAACGGCCAAGAGGAGGGCGAGUAAAGGAGAACAGAUCGAAAGGGAGAGAAGAGGUAAUCAGAUAUCUUACGGCCGGAUAAAAGUGACAUCGGCAGCAAAUGCCAUGAGUGCCUCAUUCAAGCCGGAAUGUCGAGGCUCCUCGAGCAAGCGGCCCACAGGAAGUCGUCUUAUUCUGCACUAUCCUAUCCCCGAUUGUAUUAAAGUAAAGCCCAAAACAAACUCAUAUACUACACCAAAAAAUGGAAGCUGAAACAGAGAGCGAUCGCGGUCGAAUACGUCAACUCGAAUGACAGAGCAAGGGGAUACUACUGUUUCGGAUUCAACGGCCAAGAGGAGGGCGAAUAAAGGAGAGCAGAGCAAUCGGAGGGAAGAGGUAAACAGAAUUUGGAUGGCCAGGAAAGAUUGGAGACGGCAGUGAAUGCCGUGAAUACCUCAGUGAAGAAGGAAUCUCCCGGAUCCUCGAUCAAGAAUCUCUAUCGACGCUUUACUAUUCUGCACUAUUCCAUGCCCCAUAAGAUGCGGAUUGCUCCCUUCUAUCUGACCCACGCAACAUGCUACCACACCACUCACCACUCUGUUUUUCCUUCCAUUAUUCUGUGUGUUAUAGGAGUUGGU